GUCUGAACAUCAGGGUAUUGAAUCAAAGCGUGAAGUCCGCCAUUCUUAUCAAACAUUGCAAUCUUCUGCACAGGUCCAAAAGCAGCAAAAACCAUGUGCAGAACAUCCAAGGUGACAGCAUAUUGCAUGUUCUCAAUUGAUGCCAGAAGGACAUUACUCUCAGGUUCUAAUUUUUUCCCAUCAAGACCUACACUUAACAGACCACCUCCAUCUAUAGCUGAUGGUGCGACAGGAAGGUUUGGAUUAGUGUAGUCCCUGCUCCGGUGGCUCUGAAAUUUUACACUCAAAUCUGUAUGAGCAGAGUAAUUGAUCCUAAGGGUACAUGGUCCAAUAUGCUCAGGAAACAGAUACCUAGGGAUGUUUCUUCCAUCCAGGGCAUUUUUUGCAGAAGAGGCAGUUUCUGCAUCAGAAAACUGAACCAAAGCCUGGAACCCAGCCGUUUUCUCAAAGGUAGUAAUCUUAUGCACAAA
rnacentral:misc_RNA from 1 species